rnacentral:rRNA from 1 species
UACGGGGGGGGCAAGCGUUGUUCGGAAUUACUGGGCGUAAAGCGUGCGCAGGCGGUUAUGUAAGCCAGAUGUGAAAUCCCCGGGCUCAACCUGGGAACUGCAUUUGUGACUGCAUAGCUAGAGUACGGUAGAGGGGGAUGGAAUUCCGCGUGUAGCAGUGAAAUGCGUAGAUAUGCGGAGGAACACCGAUGGCGAAGGCAAUCCCCUGGGCCUGCACUGACGCUCAUGCACGAAAGCGUGGGGAGCAAACAGG